rnacentral:misc_RNA from 1 species
GGGAAGUCAAGCAGAAGUUGCGCUCUCUGGAGCGUCUAGUCGUCGCUGGGGUUUGGAAAAAAACUGGCAUUCCUUGUUUGACCCGACGAAGGAAAAAACCCUUCCUUCUACAGAUCUCAUCUUGACACCUACUCUUUACUUUUAUUUCACCAUUACCUCUUUUUUUUCUUUACAGUUUCGUUGCUUUCUCUCUUUAAUUAUAUCUUUGAAUUUUCAAUCGAUAUCAUAGUCUUUCUUCUCUUUUAAGGGCUGUCUUUCUCUUCAUUUCUCUGUGGAGAGGCCGAUUGUUCUUCACUGUUCUGAUAUUAGCUUGUUUCUAGCUUUCUUCGAUAUCUUCAGUAUGGGUUCUUGAAAUCUCAGGUUUUACUGUUUUGAAGUUGGGCUGUCCUAAAUACGGUUAUUUUGGAGCUCUAACGUGUGUUAUGUUGGAGCUCUAACGUGUAACAGAUAGCAAUUUGAGGGAUUCUUUUAGCAAAGUUUUAUGGCUAUCUUCGUGAACAUGAUGUUGGGUAGACAUUUUCUCAAGAUUUUAAUUAGCUAUGGCCUCUGGUUUUUGCUUAGCUGUAGUUUGAGCAGUUGUACUGAGACUGAUGUUGCUUGCUUGAAGAGUAUAAAAGCCUCACUUGAAGACCCUUUUAGUUACUUGAAGUCUUCGUGGGACUUUAACAACAACACUGAAGGAUACAUUUGUAGAUUUACUGGGGUUGACUGUUGGCACCCUGAUGAGAACAAGGUCUUAAAUCUCCGGCUUUCAGAUAUGGGGCUCAAGGGUCGGUUCCCUGUUGGAAUCCAGAAUUGCACGAGCAUAACUGGUGUUGAUCUUUCAAGCAACGACCUUGUUGGACCUAUUCCAGAUAAUAUCUCUGCAAUCAUUCCUUUCGUGACAUCUCUUGAUCUCUCAUCCAACAAUUUUUCAGGAGGAAUUCCAAAGGCUCUAGCAAAUUGUACCUAUUUGAAUAUUCUAAAACUCGACCACAACCGGUUGUCGGGUCAAAUCCCUCCAGAGCUUGGUUUGUUAGCUAGGAUUAAAGCAUUUAGUGUAGCUAAUAAUCUUCUUACUGGACCUGUGCCAUCAUUCCUAAAUGCCUCCUUUUCAAGAGAAGAUUAUGCAAAUAAUCCUGGACUAUGUGGGGGGGUUUUGGAUGCCUGCCCUGGAUCUUCAAAGAGUCCUCACACUGGGGUUAUUGCAGGGGCUGCCAUUGGUGGGGUGACUGUUGCUGCAUUAAUUGUGGGUAUUGGCAUGUUCUUCUAUUACCGAAAGAUGUCUAAGAUUAAGAAGAAGAAGGAUGAUGACCCUGAAGGAAAUAAAUGGGCAAAGAGUUUAAAGGGAAUAAAGGGCAUUAAGGUUUCUAUGUUUGAGAAAUCGAUUUCUAAAAUGAAAUUGAGUGAUCUUAUGAAGGCUACUAACAGCUUCAACAAAGAUAAUAUCAUUGGGUCCGGGAGAACAGGGACUAUGUAUAAAGCCGUGCUUGAGGACGGCACUUCUCUAAUGGUUAAGAGAUUGCAGGAUUCACAGCGUUCUGAAAAAGAAUUUGUGUCUGAAAUGUCUACUCUGGGGAGCGUGAAACAUCCCAACUUGGUUCCCCUUUUAGGUUUCUGCAUGGCUAAUAAGGAAAGACUUUUGGUUUAUAAGUAUAUGCCAAAUGGCACCCUGCAUGAUAAUCUACACACUGUAGAUGAAGGUAAGAAGCCAAUGGAGUGGCCUCUAAGGCUCAAGAUUGGGAUAAGGGCAGCACGGGGAUUUGCGUGGCUCCAUCAUAACUGUAACCCCCGUAUCAUCCACCGAAACAUAAGCUCUAAAUGUAUCUUGUUGGAUGCAGAUUUUGAGCCUCAUAUAUCUGAUUUUGGUCUUGCCAGGCUAAUGAAUCCUGUUGACACUCAUUUGAGUACCUUUGUGAAUGGAGAAUUUGGCGAUUUGGGUUAUGUUGCUCCAGAGUAUACAAAAACUCUGGUGGCUACACCAAAGGGUGAUGUUUACAGCUUUGGAACUGUUCUUCUGGAGCUGGUGACUGGUGAGAGACCAACCCAUAUUGCUAAAGCUCCAGAAAGUUUUAAGGGCAGUUUGGUUGAAUGGAUUACACAGCUGUCAAGCAACUCUCAACUUCAAGAUGCCAUAGACAAAUCUUUGGUUGGGAAGGGUGUUGAUAAUGAGAUUUUCCAGUUCCUUAAAAUUGCAUGUACUUGUGUAGUGCCAAAUCCCAAGGAGAGGCCAACUAUGUUUGAAGUAUACCAGCUUCUAAGGGCUAUUGGGGAGAAAUACAAUUUUACCACUGAGGAUGAGAUUAUGAUGCCUUCAGACAAUGGUGAUACUGAUUUUAUGGAGGAACUUAUUGUUGCUCAAGAAGUAAGAGGGGGUAAUUAAAAAGUGUGAGGUAGGUGAAGUAUUUUUCCACAAUUUAUAUGUAAUUGUCUGUUGUCCCAGUUCAAAUAAAUGCUAAAAUUCUGUAUACUUCUAUAGUUCAUGUCUUAUUGAGAAGUUACUUUAAUGACAUUACUUUACAGCCUUCCAGCAUCAAUCUUGGCUCUGUUUCUAGUAUCUUGUAUAGUUAUAAUUAAUAUUCCUCAACAUUUCAACUCUUUUUAUUUUUAUUUUUAAUUUAGAUUGGUCCUUUAUUUUCAUGGGCAAUGCAAGAACUCCAUUAUUACUCUGGGAAUUUUGUUUUCUGUUUUAGAUACAUUUGUAGCUAAUGCAUUUUUAUGUGAUGUGCACAAAUAUUUGGAUAGUAUUUGUCUCUGUCAUAUGCAAG